rnacentral:rRNA from 1 species
GUAGGUGGCAAGCGUUGUCCGGAUUUAUUGGGCGUAAAGCGAGUGCAGGCGGUCUUUUAAGUCUGAUGUGAAAGCCUUCGGCUUAACCGGAGUAGUGCAUUGGAAACUGGGAGACUUGAGUGCAGAAGAGGAGAGUGGAACUCCAUGUGAAGCGGUGAAAUGCGUAGAUAUAUGGAAGAACACCAGUGGCGAAGGCGGCUCUCUGGUCUGCAACUGACGCUGAGGCUCGAAAGCAUGGGUAGCGA